rnacentral:rRNA from 1 species
UACGGGGGGGGCAAGCGUUGUUCGGAAUUACUGGGCGUAAAGGCUCGUAGGCGGCCAACUAAGUCAGACGUGAAAUCCCUCGGCUUAACCGGGGAACUGCGUCUGAUACUGGAUGGCUUGAGGUUGGGAGAGGGAUGCGGAAUUCCAGGUGCAGCGGUGAAAUGCGCAGAGUAUCAGGAGGAACACCGGUGGCGAAGGCGGGUCUCUGGCCGAUACUGACGCUGGAGGAGCGAAAGCGUGGGAGCGAACAGG